rnacentral:rRNA from 1 species
AUUAAACGCUGGCGGCAUGCCUUACACAUGCAAGUCGAACGGCAGCACGGGGGCAACCCUGGUGGCGAGUGGCGGACGGGUGAGUAAUACAUCGGAACGUGCCCUGGAGUGGGGGAUAACGCAGCGAAAGCUACGCUAAUACCGCAUAUUCUGUGAGUAGGAAAGCAGGGGAUCGCAAGACCUUGCGCUUUGGGAGCGGCCGAUGUCGGAUUAGCUAGUUGGUGGGGUAAAGGCCUACCAAGGCGACGAUCCGUAGCGGGUCUGAGAGGAUGAUCCGCCACACUGGGACUGAGACACGGCCCAGACUCCUACGGGAGGCAGCAGUGGGGAAUUUUGGACAAUGGGCGGAAGCCUGAUCCAGCCAUGCCGCGUGAGUGAAGAAGGCCUCGGUUGUAAG